GCAUGGCGUCAGAGUUUGGUCGUUUUUCGGGAUGCAGCACAUCGCGAACUUUAUGGUCAUACUCUCGGUGGUGGUGAGGCGGCUCACAGGCCACACUCCUACAUCCUGAGCAAGCGGCCAAACGGCUGGUCGUGGAGUGCCUGCACGGCAGACCAGCCGACGGUGUUAAGGGCCGUUGUCCCGGCGAGGAGCUGCUUCGACAAAGCAGUAGGGCCUCGACGACGAGGCGACCGGCGAUGCCGUAGCAACGCCGUAGCUUGGCUCCUGGCUACAGAAAAGCUAGCCUGGGGGAGAGCUGGCCACCCUACCCUAGGUAGACAUGUUCUACCUAUAGGAAGCCGCUAGCGCCCGCUCGUGCAGCAAGGGACGGAAAGGGAGAAGUGGGCCCUGGCGAUUUGGGGAAGGAAGAAGAUGAAAGAAAGGAGCGGGCAGAGGUGGGUGUGAUUAAUCGUUAAAUAAGGAACGUUUGCGUCAAUUUGAGUCAUAUAUUUAGUUCUGCAAGCAAACUGAAGCUUCAUUCUUUCGCACAUGACCUGAAACAACUGGUCGGUUGUAAGUGGCCACCGUAUGGCAUUGGAGGUGAAUUGAGCCGACACACUGCCAGUAGGGGUCUAAUGGAUACCUAUCUCACUUCUUCCAACACCACUUGCGCCGGGUGCUCCUCGUGGCAGAAGAGGUUCAUCUUCGCAGUCGAGGUGGCGGAGAGGAACGCCAUGGGCAUGGAUCUGAGCUUGCGCGAACUCGGAGAAUGCGUUGGGCAAGUGGAGGAGCUGGCGGCGCUGGAGGCCAUUGACAUGUCCAGCGCUGUCCCCGUAGCAGCUAACACACGCGGACACAGGAACCUGCAAAACAUGCACCUGAUGUGUGUCCGUAGGCACCUGCUUGUCCUGCAUUUUGCACUAGCGGCUCAAGCGGAAAAAGCAGGCUCUUCGGUCGACU